rnacentral:lncRNA from 1 species
GGAUAUCUACACCGCCUUUCUGACCCCACCCUGCACUCCCAUCCUUUCCUCUCUCCCCGUUCAUGCCCUGCACUACAUAGCACAGCCGGGAUGCUUGGAACAGAGGCCUUGGCUGCUCCGCAGUGCACAGGGCUUCCCUCUCUCGGGGUUGGCUUCUUCCCAGGCCUUGCAUGGGCCCUGCCCACAAGCACACCCUCAGGCCGAGGGUGCAGACUGAUGCUCUUCCCUGAUGGAGACCCUGAGAUCUUCCCCACCCCCAAUCAUGAUGUCUUCAGUGUGGGACUGGGGUCCUCUUGGUUCUGCCUGCAGCCUGCCUGGCUCCGCCCCUAG